GCAAGUCGAGCGAGAACGUUCUCUUCGGAGAAUUAGUAGAGCGGCGCACGGGUGAGUAACGCGUGGAUGAUCUACCCUGAAGAUCGGGAUAACAGUUGGAAACGACUGCUAAUACCGUAUAAUCUGCAUAUUUUACUUUAUGUUGGAAAGGUGGCCUCUGUUUUAAGCUACCACUUUUGGAUGAGUCCGCGUCUCAUUAGUUUGUUGGUGGGGUAAUGGCCUACCAAGACUACGAUGAGUAGCAGGUCUGAGAGGAUGAUC
rnacentral:rRNA from 1 species